rnacentral:tRNA from 1 species
AGGAGUGUAGUUCAAUUGGUAGAGCGUCGGUCUCCAAAACCGAAAGUUGGGGGUUCGAGCCCCUCCACUCCUGCCA